GGACGACAGUGGGGACAUGGGUUGGUUGUUUUUUUGCCUUGGCCACCACAAUUUCCCCUUUAUCCUUUCGAACUGGCAGUAUGUUCUGGCUUCCUCAAAGGUGCAUAUGGAUGAGAUGCUGGUCCCAGUCAUUGACUGAACAUUGGCUGGUCUAAGUUCUUUGGGCCCGAUACAUACACUGCACCAGAAAUAAGUAUUUUUCUGAUGAGGUUUCCACAGUGGUUGUAAGGAUUCUGUCCUUAAUUACAUCAUCAGUCUGCGACCUCGUCCCAGCCUAAAAAGCAGCACUCUCCUCCACCAGCAUGGCUGCUGCAGGCGAUGGCCAGCCAUGAGCAGCUCGCCGUUUAACCAACAUUGGUGCCGUGACUAGGACACACCACCGAAUACCGAGGACCUGCUGUGACUGCUGCCGCAUGCCGCCUCCUCCCCCAUCCAACGAGACCGCGAGACCACGAGCGUGCACACAUCCCUCACUGCCUCCACUGGACCCCCACACAGCUGCCGUCACCACAGUGAGUCUGCCGUUCUCACGGCUGUAGUCUGAGCUAUAUUCUUUGCGACGGACACCCCGGGGGUUGUCCUCGGGCUGUACUGGCAACGGCAGGCACAUUUUCGCUCCUGACGAGGAAGUAAAUGGUGUCUAGGGUUCAAUGGUGGACCAACUGCAGUACAGUCGCAGCCCUCACGAUCCCUUGAUGAAGAGGACUCGUGACUUGAGCUGAUUUAUAGAUCUCUCUCCACUCUUGGGGAUGCCCGAGAUUGUAGUCUGAUCCCAGUUUGUUAUUUUAAUUUUUUAUUUUUCUCUUGGCUACAGCCAUGAGACAAAGGAGCGGAUACAUUUACCACCUACAUUGGUGGAUAGGGGUGGGCACAGCCUAAACCUGGCCACAUAACAGCGUCGCAGGAACUUCUGCCAGUAAAUGGGCAAAUAAGAGUUACUUUAUCCCCAAGCUUUCUACUAAAGUUCUAACUAAACCCUUCUCCUUCCCCACUUCUGUGUCUGCCACGUGCAAACUUUUCUGUCUGACUUCUGCUGGCAGUGGGCAGGCUCAAAUGGGCCGACUUGGGUAGUUUCUAUAACUCACCCUCACUCACCCACUCAUUCUCAAACUGUCUGUGUUUCUCACGUGCAUACAGACAGGGCCCUGAUCUUUGCCUUGUCCCUAAUUCCAAAAAAAAAUAAAUUCUCAUGCACCACAAGCUUUUCUCUUCCCAGUUCCCUGUUCUCACUGUUCAGCCAAUGAUACAGGACCACCACAGAACCGGAGUCCAGAGAUCAUCAACAUCUUGUCAAACAGAAAGUUCCCAGCCACAACCAAGAGGGAUACAUGUCUCCAGAGCAAACGGAUGACAGACAGCAUCCCACAAUGCCUGUCUACCUCGGAAGACUCCCCCAAGAGCCAACCGACAUCCAAUUGUCAGCUGGAAGCAGUUUUUGAGAGGAACGACACCCCUAUUCCCAUCUACCUGCUUUUUAUAAUAAGUGAAAGUCUGGGAUGUAAGGGUUCUGUCCUUAAUUACAUCAUCAGCCUGGGAUGGCGUCCCAGCCUAAAAAGCGGGUGGGCCCACUGUGUGUCCCUCUCUUUCCUUUCUGCUCCUUCCUUCUGUCUGGACCUCCUUCUUCUCUUCUCUCUCUCUCUCUCUCUCUCUCUCUCUCUCUCUCUCUCUCUCUCUCUCUCUCUUUCCCUCUCCCUUUCCCUCUCCCUCUCUCUCUCCCUCUCUCUCUCCCUCCCUCUCUUCCUCUCUCCCUCUCUCCCAAUAAAGCUCUAGAAAGGUAA